UUGCUCAAGAAGAAAAAUCCUAUGGGAUCCAAGAUCUCUACAUCUCUCCCUCCCCUAUCUCUAAUUGGGAUCUCUUUCAUGGGGUGAUUUAUUUGUAUAUAUGUAUAUGUAUGUCUCCUGAAUUUGCAAGUUACAUGAGGGAAUUUUCAAAAGAUCUUCAUGGGAGGUUACUAUGAUGUGGAGGAGCAGCACAUGGAGGACUCAUGAAAUCCAGAUAGUUCAUGAUGCCUGGUUGCAAGAAAUAAUGCUGGUUCCAAGAAUAACUUUCAGGCCGCAAAAUGUGGAUGAGAAGAAGAAAUGAUGAAUGGUCCGCGCGGCGGACGUGAAGAAACGAUGAAUGGUCAGCACAACUAGAAAGAGAUUGAAUACAAAGAUUGACGAACUUCCGCGAUUCUAAUGACCAGAUGGAUGAUCGUUGUUCUGCACAUGUCUCCAUCAGACUCGGAAGCUUAACAUAAAUGCCAAAUUAUUAACAGCAAAAACCGAAGACCAGGAUGGAAGGCGCUUCGCAAAAUUAGCUUUUCCGCAACAUACAUCUUCUUGGAAAGAUCUCCUGCAGAAGUCAAGGGCCGUUUAUAAUGAGAUGCCGAAUCCCAAACAAGUCUUCUAGAUCUCGAACGGCUUGUUCUACUGCAUAAACUACCAUCUUCUUUAUCUGUUCCAGGCAGACAUGAGAAAAACCGAGUUAGAGGAAGGAAAUCGUAUGACGUAAAUGGAAAGAUCUUGUUAGGAUCGGGUUGGGUUGCUGAAAAUAUUACCUCCAGUUUGUCUUCUCGGAUUUUGUGGUUCCUAGGAAGCUGCCUGAACUCCUCGGUCAGGCGAAAGCACUCAUCAAGGUUUUCAGGAGAGACAAAAUCGAGAGCGACUUUCGUGCAUGACUGCAUCAAAAAAGAGGAUUAAUAUCUCUGCAACAAAAAGAGGAUUAUAUAUCACGAGUUUGAUGCUUUCAUUGAGAGGCGCAUCCAAGACAAGGAGACGGAAAAUUGACAGCUUUUCAUAACCAGAGAACCUUUUACCUUGAGAUUUCUAACUUGAUGGGGGCAUCCUGCAGGUAUAAAUACAGCCUCUCCGACAUCCUGCUCAAAUGUCCAUGCUUCAACUCCUGCAAAUGAAUUGGCAAAGACCUCACCGUAAAUUUGUGUUCUGUUCUUUGUCCAAGUCAACAAAAGAAGUUUGUAAACAACUUUCACUAACCGUAUUCUUCCUUCAGCUUCUGCUUGUGCUUGGCAGUAAGAUAGAAUGAUUGGUCGUGGAUUGGGUGAAUGACCUAAACAUUAACAAUACGCCAUUAAUCGUA